rnacentral:lncRNA from 1 species
CGGGGGCGGCCAGGGGCCCAGACGCCAGCUUGGACACGCGCCGAGAGGGCUGGCCCCGGGCAGCCGUGGUCGGCCGGCACGAGGCGCGUCGCCUCAAGCCGGGGGUGUCCGUGUCCUCCUCCCUCAGCCCGGGGCCGCCGCUCCAGCGCUCCAGCAGCUUGAACGAGACGCUGCGGUAAAGCUGGGGCCGGGGUGCCCCGUCCGCCAUAGUGGCGUAACUCACUCCGGGGGGGCUGGCCUCGGGCAGCCGCGGCCAACCCCCCCUGCGCCCCCACUCCCUAGGAGCGCAGCGGCCCACGCCGAAAGCAGCGCACGGGAGUGUGGGAAGAGGACGCAGAGACCGGAGCAGAGGUUUCUCUGCCGCGGCUCAAGUUUCUGUGGCCACCGGCCGCAACGUCUCCAUCCCGGGCGGCCCCUCCCGCCUCAGCGCCGACCCCCAGGCCCAGCCCCCGCCGCGGCUGGAGCGACCAGGGGCACCGCGGCACCGCCUGGGCGGGAUCCCAGCGCUUGGUUCCUCGACUCUGCGUCCGCCUGCCCAACGCCCUUGGCUGCUCGCUCCUGGCACCCUUUUGUUGCAAAUAAACUUUGCGGCAGAGAGAGGUCCCUCGGGAGCCCAGCAGGCCGAGCUGC